rnacentral:rRNA from 1 species
AGUGAACGCUGGCGGUAGGCCUAACACAUGCAAGUCGAACGGCAGCACAGUAAGAGCUUGCUCUUACGGGUGGCGAGUGGCGGACGGGUGAGGAAUACAUCGAAAUAUACUUUUUCGGGGGGGAUAACGUAGGGAAAUUUACGCUAAUCCGGCAUACGACCUCCGGGUGAAAGCAGGGGUUCUUCGAACUUUGCGGGAUUGAAUGAGCCGAUGUCGGAUUAGCUAGUUGGCGGGGUAAAGGCCCACCAAGGCGACGAUCCGUAGCUGGUCUGAGAGGGUGAUCAGCCACACUGGAACUGAGACACGGUCCAGACUCCUACGGGAGGCAGCAGUGGGGAAUAUUGGACAAUGGGCGCAAGCCUGAUCCAGCCAUACCGCGUGGGUGAAGAAGGCCUUCGGGUUGUAAAGCCCUUUUGUUGGGAAAGAAAAGCAGCAGGUUAAUACCCCGCUGUUCUGACGGUACCCAAAGAAUAAGCACCGGCUAACUUCGUG